rnacentral:rRNA from 1 species
GACGAACGCUGGCGGCGCGCUUAACACAUGCAAGUCGAACGGUGAACCGGGCUUCGGCCCGGGGAUCAGUGGCGAACGGGUGCGUAACACGUGGGCAACCUGCCCCUCACUCUGGGAUAACCCCGGGAAACCGGAGCUAAUACCGGAUACUCCGACCGGUCCGCAUGGUCCGAUCGGGAAAGGUCCGCCGGUGAGGGAUGGGCCCGCGGCCUAUCAGCUUGUUGGUGAGGUAACGGCUCACCAAGGCGACGACGGGUAGCUGGUCUGAGAGGACGACCAGCCACACUGGGACUGAGAUACGGCCCAGACUCCUACGGGAGGCAGCAGUGGGGAAUCUUGCGCAAUGGGCGAAAGCCUGACGCAGCUACGCCGCGUGGGGGACGAAGGCCCUCGGGUUGUAAACCCCUUUCGGCAGGGACGAAGCGAUCGUGACGGUACCUGCAGAAGAAGCCUCGGCUAACUACGUGCCAGCCGCCGCAGUAA